CCUACGGUGUGCAGCAGUGGGGAAUAUUGCGCAAUGGGCGAAAGCCUGACGCAGCGACGCCGCGUGAGGGAUGAAGGUCUUCGGAUCGUAAACCUCUGUCAGCAGGGAAGAACGGUCCCUGUGCUAAUCAGCAGUGAAUUUACGGUCCCUGCAAAGGAAGCACCGGCUCACUCCGUGCCAGCAGCCGCGGUAAUACGGAGGGUUCGAGCGUUAAUCGGAAUUACUGGGCGUAAAGCGCUCGUAUGCGGUAUUUCAAGUCAAGGGUGAAAUCCCCGCGCUCAACGUGGGAACUGCCUUUGAAACGGGCAAACUGGAGUGUGUGAGAGGAUAGUGGAAGUCCAGGUGUAGGAGUGAAAGCCGUAGAUAUCUGGAGGAACAGCAGUGGCGAAGGCGACUAUCUGGCACAUAACUGACGCUGAGGAGCGAAAGCGUGGGUAGCAAACAGGAUUAGAUACCCGAGUAGUC
rnacentral:rRNA from 1 species